GGCCGUGUGGCCUAAUGGUUAAGGCGUUGGUUUUCGGUUCUUGUGUUUCGUCCACCAUUCCCACCAAAGAUCGAGGGUUCGAAUCCUUCCACGGUCG
rnacentral:tRNA from 1 species